rnacentral:rRNA from 1 species
UGGGGAAUAUUGCACAAUGGGGAAAGACCCUGAUGCAGCAACGCCGCGUGAAGGAAGACGGUUUUCGGAUUGUAAACUUCUGUUCUUAGUGAAGAAUAAUGACGGUAGCUAAGGAGCAAGCCACGGCUAACUACGUGCCAGCAGCCGCGGUAAUACGUAGGUGGCAAGCGUUGUCCGGAAUUACUGGGUGUAAAGGGAGCGCAGGCGGGAGACCAAGUCAGCUGUGAAAACUACGGGCUUAACCUGUAGACUGCAGUUGAAACUGGUUUUCUUGAGUGAAGUAGAGGUUGGCGGAAUUCCGAGUGUAGCGGUGAAAUGCGUAGAUAUUCGGAGGAACACCGGUGGCGAAGGCGGCCAACUGGGCUUUAACUGACGCUGAGGCCCGAAAGUGUGGGGAGCAAACAGGAUUAGAUACCC